GGUUCUAUAGAACUCUCCACCCUUGAGCUAUGUUGGGGAGUCCAUGGUGGGCUAGUCAGGCAGCAAAGAACAGACACAUGAACUUUUAGAAUACAUUCUAACAUAGGCUGGUUAGGGUCUAUGGAGCUCUUGGCUCUUGAUGGAUCUACAGGGAAAAUUUAAUGGCAGACUACAGAUGGGAACACAGAACAGACACAGCACUGCUCCAAUGACUCAUUGUGACAAGGAGGCAACCAGAGGAUUCCUACAGGAGAGGACAAACCAUCUUCCAAGUUGGAGAGACUUAGAAUGCGAGCUCCUUGAGGGAAGGGAGCAAGUUUUUGUCUUCCUUUGUGUCCCUAAGGCUUAGGACACUGCCUGGAAUACAACUUCAGAGGAAGAAAGAGAACAAUACAGGACGACCAAGAACUAGAAGGAAGCAGACCAACUCGGAGUGUCUCUGCUCUGUGAACAAGAACCUGACGGAAGUGAAAGCGCGGGAGAAUGAGGGAAACUCCCAACCUUGAAGAUGCACCUAGAGCUUUCCCAUAUUCCCACUCUGGACCAGGAUAAUCAGUAUUUUCAUCUUUGCUCAUUUCUUUCUCUCUGGUCUUGGUUAAGGUCUUGACUUUGGCUGGGUCUUUGCCCUUUCUUCUCUUUCUUACAUUUUCCACUUUUUCUGCCUCUUCCUCCCUCUUCACUCCCAG